rnacentral:rRNA from 1 species
GGAGUUUGGGCCGUGUCUCAGUCCCAAUGUGGCCGUUCACCCUCUCAGGCCGGCUACUGAUCGUCGCUUUGGUGGGCCGUUACCCCGCCAACUGGCUAAUCAGACGCGGAUCCAUCUCACACCGAUAAAUCUUUUACCCCUGCACCAUGCGGUGCUGUGGUCUUAUGCGGUAUUACCAGCCGUUUCCAGCUGCUAUCCCCCAGUAUGGGGCAGGUUGCCCACGCGUUACUCACCCGUCCGCCACUAAGUAUACCCAUGCUUCGGCCGAAGCCUCCGCGGCGGAUAUACCCCGUUCGACUUGCAUGUGUUAGGCACGCCGCCAGCGUUCAUC